rnacentral:rRNA from 1 species
GACGAACGCUGGCGGCGUGCUUAACACAUGCAAGUCGAACGGACAGGCCCUGCUCUUGUGGGGUGCUCGAGUGGCGCACGGGUGAGUAACACGUGAGUAACCUGCCCUUGUCUUUGGGAUAACUUCAGGAAACUGGGGCUAAUACCGGAUAGGAGCUCCUGCUGCAUGGUGGGGGUUGGAAAGUUUCGGCGGUGGGGGAUGGUCUCGCGGCUUAUCGGCUGGUUGGUGGGGUAGUGGCUUACCAAGGCUUUGACGGGUAGCCGGCCUGAGAGGGUGACCGGCCACAUUGGGACUGAGAGACGGCCCAGAAUCCUACGUGAGGCAGCAGUGGGGAAUAUUGCACAAUGGGCGGAAGCCUGAUGCAGCAACGCUGCGUGCGGGAUGACGGGUUUCUGGGUGUAAACCGCUUUCGCCGGUGACGAAGCGGGAGUGACGGUAAUGGGUAAAGAAGCACCGGCUAACUACGUG